UACGUAGGGUGCGAGCGUUGUCCGGAAUUAUUGGGCGUAAAGCGCGUGUAGGCGGCUUUGCAAGUCUGGUGUGAAAUCCCUCGGCUUAACCGAGGAAGUGCGCCAGAAACUGCAGAGCUUGAGUACCGGAGAGGAUGGUGGAAUUCCCCAAGUAGAGGUGAAAUUCGUAGAUAUGGGGAGGAACACCGGUGGCGAAGGCGACCAUCUGGACGGAUACUGACGCUGAGACGCGAAAGCGUGGGGAGCAAACAGG
rnacentral:rRNA from 1 species